ACCAGACUCCUACGGGAGGCAGCAGUGGGGGAUAUUGCACAAUGGGGGAAACCCUGAUGCAGCGACGCCGCGUGGGCGAAGAAGUAUUUCGGUAUGUAAAGCCCUCUCAGCAGGGAAGAAGAAAUGACGGUACCUGAGUAAGAAGCCCCGGCUAACUACGUGCCGGCAGCCGCGGUAAUACGUAGGGGGCAAGCGUUAUCCGGAUUUACUGGGUGUAAAGGGAGCGUAGACGGCAGUGCAAGUCCGGAGUGAAAGCCCGGGGCUCAACCCUGGGACUGCUCUGGAAACUGUAAAGCUGGAGUGCGGGAGGGGCAGGCGGAAUUCCUGGUGUAGCGGUGAAAUGCGUAGAUAUCAGGAGGAACACCGGCGGCGAAGGCGGCCUGCUGGACCGUAACUGACGUUGAGGCUCGAAAGCGUGGGGAGCAAACAGGAUUAGAUACCCCCGUAU
rnacentral:rRNA from 1 species